ACCAAUUCCGCAAUUAAAAUUGAAAAUUAUUACAAAAUUUAGAACAUUUGAAAUUAUUGUAAGAUCUUAUGAUCACUUUUUACAUUAAUUGCAAAGAUCGCAACAGAAAAAAAUCCACAAGUCGGGUCCCACCUAAUAAUACCUCUGAAUUCAAAUAAUUAAGGCAUCACAAUGAGGAUACGAGGUAACAGGUCAACUGAACGCAGCUGUUUCACUAUUACAAUAAAAUUUUUGAUAAACAUAUUCUAGCUGUAUGCAUAUGAUAUUUACAUGAUUUGGGAGCUCAAACCGUGACAGUUAGGUCGUUCAGCUGUACCCACCCAUAAGCACACCGAUCCCUUAUCUUUUGAACUGUUGAUACCGCCAAAUCAACCAUUGGCCGAAUUCUAGUCAACUCUUUCUCCACUGGUAUUCUUGCGUUGUCGUCCAUCUUUUCCAUGCAACGUACGGUGUCCAGUAGAUGGCAGAAAUAUGAAAGCUGCUUGUACAGAUCUGCUUCUGUGUACUUUCUUACUAGACGCCCAUUACAGCGAGGAUAGUUUGGACAAACGGUUCCUCUUUCCGAAUCACCAAUCAGCCGCAUGUUAAGACUGCGUGUGGUAUGCUUGCAAGUUUCAUCAUCACACAUCAUUAAACCCUUAUAGUACAUAGAAACAAACCCUUCCGCUUGCCUUUUCACCUGGUUUGAUAUCAUUGCAGCAGAUAUUCUGCCCAUAUCACCUUCUUCUGGACAUUUAGGACAACGCAGUCUAUGCCAGAAAUUGAAUGCAGAUUCCUCUACUUGCUGUCUUAUUGCCUUUUCACUAAUUGACAUGCAAAUGGAACUGAUGAUAGCAGGACAUUCAAAAGUACUAGAGCAGCUGGGACAUGACAAGAUCAAUGGCUCACAACUUCGAUAUCUCUCCUCAUCAUUGAGGGCAAACAAAAGUGAGCUUGAAGGAUCAUUGCCAACGGCUUCACCUGAUUUACUUUUGAACUUGGAUGAGUCAAGGCCCAAACAAUCAGCCAAACGCUCUGGGCUUGUACCCUGAAUUGAAGCACAUAGACGAGAUACCACAGGAUGAAUUUGUUGUGACAAGUAGUAAUCUAUGUCAAUCAUCCAUUUCCCGUCAUCCAUUUUCAAUUCAUCAGGAUGCCUAGCACGCUGAGCAAUUCCUGUCAAAUUUCCUGAAGGAGCACCCUGCUCACAGCAAAUGAUAUAUGGUACUGUAUCACCAGCAGAGCAACCAGUGCUAUAGCCACUUUGCUUCAAUCUCAGUGCCACUAGAACAUGAGGUUGAUUUUUGGCAUCAGGAUAGGCUUCAGGCGGCUUAGUCAGUGUCUUUGUAAUGACAUAUUUCUCUAGUGCUACUUGUCCAUUCCUCAUAUCCUCCUGAACCUUCAUAAGAGAGUUAUGUAUUGAUUCAACUACAUCUUCACAUGACCCCCCAGACAAGAUUUGAGCGAGGCAGAAAUCUCCCAGUUCCUUUGAUAGCAAGCUCCAGUCACGACGAACCAUGUCAAGACCUUUACGUUCAAUAACCUCGUACUGUGUCCCAUCCUUGAAGUGCAAUUUGACAGCUGCAUAUUUUUUCUUCUUGAGAAGCAACAUUCUCUUGUACAAGCCAUCAAGAUCAAUUUCUAAACACCUAUACUUCUUGUUCACCUCCUGGAUGACUUUUCCUGCAAUAGCUUUUGCUUUUGAGAUAUCAUCCAGUCCACUAUGAAUCAUGAUUGAAUCUGUAUCGCCAUAUAUGACCUCCAAGUUCAAAUUAUUUUGAACAAGAUCCACAGUACUCUGUAGAAUCUCCCUCCCUUGUAGGGUUAUAAGCUCGGCAAUAGGCUUGGCAUAAAAUCUUGAAUUGGAAAAUCCAAGGCAUCCAUACAUGCUAUUUGCAGUGAGCUUUAGUGCCUGUUGCUGAAUGUCGAGCUGCUGGACCUUGAGACCAGCUGCAUUCUUCAUCCAUGAUUUGACCAUUCUCCUCCUCUCCACUAGAUUUUUUAGCAACUCAGGUAGAACUCCAGCUGUUUUGCUAGAGGGUAAACGGGGAACUAAACCAUCCGCAGAUUUUUCAAUUGUUGUGAAGCAUAUAUUGUACUCCUGAAUAAUAGAAGGGUAAAGACUAUUGAAGUCCAGAAGCAACACAUAUUUGUCAUACAAACCCUUUUUGGGCUCCAAGACCAGACCACCUGCAUAGGAAGGGCCUUUUUUCCCUUUUGCAUGAUCAUUCUCUGGACUGUCAUCAUCAAAAUUGGUAUGAUCAAUAUCCAACUCUUCAGCAUUUCUUUCCUUGACACCAUGACUUAAUCUCCGCUUUGUCAUUUUUGUUUCCUUUACAUGGAAGGAAUUCUUGUCUGGUACCAUAAACUUCUUUGCAUGAAAUGCAUGCAAUAAGAGAUACUCUACUCUCUGUGCCCUUGCACCUUGGAGAGUUUUACCCCAGAGAUUACCACUAAUAUUAGUCAGCUGACGUGUUAGAGGAAGGACACUCAAAUGAAACAUAAGUUCCAUAGAUAACCAGGCAUCCGUCUCACCACAUUCGAUCAAUUCAAUUAGAGAUUUUGAUGUCUGAAACAUUUUGGGAAUAUCAUGUAGAGCAAUCUCCUUCCGAUCUUUGUUCAGGCGAUUCCUUGAUAGUUGUGUCAAGGAAUAACUAACCUCUUUUAAUAAGUCACGAGAGGACAAAUAUGUAUCGCAUAAGAGUCGACCAGCAAUGCAUGACAUAAUCCCUGGACUUGCCCCAGAACCGAACAUAGCAUUUCCCUUUGUAAGCUUAGGCAUCACAGAACGCUUGAGACGGCCUAUUUUGGACCACAUGCUGCUUGGCACACGGCAAGCCUGGGCUCUGUGGAGGAGAACAUCCAAGUCAAACCCAGAUAUAUUAUGCCCAACAAGAACAUCACUGUCCAAUUUGUUUAAUGCAAUCAUGAGACGAUUCAGCAAAGCUCUUUCACUGCUUUCAAUGCCUAAAACAUUGGAUCCAGCCUUUAUGUUCCUUUCAGUUACCUCUUUGGAGAAUCCCAUUGGGAAUAUUCCCCCUUCGAGCUUGCGGACAACAGUAAAAUGGCUCAGAAUACCAGGUUUCUUCCAUUCUGAGGCCACCAUGGGACUGUCAAUCUUAGCCUUGUGACAACAAAUGAGAGAUGCAGAGACUAUCUCAUUGAUAUUCUGCUUUUCAUUUAUGAUUGUUUUCAAAUUUAUUGCUGUAACAACCACUGGAGGAAUCUCUAUUGUGUUCUUUGAGGAAGAUGACACCCUUAUAUCUUUUGGUGAGUCAACAGUAAUCUCAAACUUGCACCAGCUCACCCUUUGAGAAGCUGGACAAAUCGAGAACUUUGAAACUGAUAGCCACGAAGGUCCCUUUACCUUCCUUUUGAUGAGAAAAAGCUCCAAUGCACUGCAAUGAGUUCCAAGCAAAGCACAGAAAGUUUCUCCCUUUAGAUCUGCUGGAAGUGGAGGUUCCUUGAAUGGGUAGUUGAUCUUAAGUACAUAAUUCUCCCCAGUAGGUAUGUCUGAUCUCUCAAAUGCAUAUCUCCUCUUGACUGGAGCCAUGCUAAAACUAGAAACAUUGAGAGUUAACAAUUGACUUGCUAUUUCAUUUUUUAGGCCGUAUGCUACAUCCUGUAACCUUUUACGGUACUCAGAAGGAGAAAUCUGUGACUCUUCAGCUUCUUUCUCCAGCUUAAUCAUCUCUUCAGUAUGAAAAACGGAACCAUUUGGAAUAGCAUAAACACAUCGCUGCAUGUUCUUUACAACCACACAGCAACUGUGAUAAGUAUUUGCUGCUUUCACCUUCCCAAAGAGAUAAAGUGUACCCAUGUUAGCACCAAAAACCUCCUCAUGAACAUCAAUUAUGUAAAAAGGCAGCGAUCCAUCAGCCUCCAGCUCAAAAUCCGAUUGCUCUUCACUGCUUGACCCACUUUUAAGCUCCUCAGUACCACUGUCAACGAUUCCAUUUCCAACGCUCCUCACUGCCUGCCAGUCAGCUAUUGCACUCAAAGCAGGAUCUCUUUCCUCCACGGUAAUCUUAGCAUUAAGUGUAUGUCCACCCUCCUCCUUUUUCGCCACUGGCUCCGCUUUCACUUCAAUCAAAUUUUCCACUUCCUCAGUAGCCACUCCUCCACUAGCUUCCGUAUCAAAAGAUUGCUCUAUUGCUUUCUCCUCUUUGACUUCUUUAAUUAUCCCUUUUCUCUCAUUAACAUUACUAUCGCUCCCAAGACUAAGCAGACUAUCACCAUUAUUUGUGAUAACCCUAUUCAAUUCAGUAGUCACCGCCAAAUCAACAUUGCUAAGAACCUGAUCCUCGGUCUUAAUUGGCGCGAAAUUCUUCAGAGUCAAUUGGCCCCUUCUGCGUCUCUCUCUAUCAGCCUCGUCAGGUGCAAACUCCGCUAUAACAUCAUCAACGAUAUUUUCACAAUCCAAACUCUUAACCUUACCAGAAUCCUUAUUUUUAAACACCGUCGAGGUGAACAUCGCCGAUAUUCUUUGUUUCCCCAUCAUUGCCGCCGCCGCUGAUAAUGAAGAAUUAACCUUCUUUUGUUGCGUCUCUUUCUCUUUCUUUUCUGUCUUUUUCCUUUUUGGUCUCGUAUUUGGCUCGCCGCCAUCCGAUUCAUCAGAUGAUGGAGGGAGGCCAGCCAGGGACCAGUCCUCCUCUUGGCCCUCGUCGCCAUACCCGAGGCCAUCGUCAUCGACAAUGAAGCCUUGGGCCUCCUCCCGACGGCGUGCCACGAGCUUGUCAUAAUCAUCCUCAGAUACUGUGUCAUAUAUCGGAGUCUCCACCUUGACGUCGUAUCCGCCGCCAUUCUCAGAUCUACGACCACCUCGGCGUAGGGCUUUUAGACGCUCUAAGGCUUCUGCUCGAGCCGUGGCCUCGGCUCCCCUGCUCCGUCUCCUUCCCGCCGCAACUGACUGUUCGUCGGCCAUUUCUCUCUGCCAAUGGAUCAAGUGACUAGGGUUUUGCAGUGAGAGAGAUAGAAGUGAAAUUACUUUUAGUCUUGGUGGUUAUUAUUGGC
rnacentral:misc_RNA from 1 species